AGCAAAUCACUUAACUUCUCUGAGCCUCAGU
rnacentral:piRNA from 1 species